CCCCUCAACGCUCCGCCGUGUGGCACUGGAAGGGACCUAAAAGCCCUCCUGGCUUUCUCCUUUCCUCUUCCCCUCGCUUCCCAGGGGCCCAAGGCCCGCAUCUCAGUUUCCCUUUCCGGCAGGGUCAGGGGUGAGAGGGAGGAAUUCUUAGGUGUCACCUCCUCACCCGCCUGGAGGCGGCGGCUAGAGAGACGCCGGGGCACCCUGAAGGGGAGGAAGCGGUGUGCCACGAAUUCUCUCUCUUAAAUGCUCGCGUUAUCACGGAGGAGACUUUAUAAACACUUUAAACACAACACCAACCAUUUUAUCAGCAAAAGCGAGGGGAGGGGGGCGUACAGUAAAUGCUGAGAGAUGUGCAAGAAGCCCCGAGACGUUCCCUGCGGAAGGAGAACGGAAGAAAGAAAAUUCCGGACGGAAAAAGAAUUCUUUGCUGAAGAAUGCAGCUGUAUUAAAGGAAGAAAGAAAACCAAGCUACAGCUCCUUAUAAUUCAACAAGCAUUUAAAAGGUUUAUAAAAUGGUGCAAUUAUGUAUUUAAGCUGCUUCAACACAAGUUCUUGCCUUUCACUCCCACCCUGUGGCUUACACUGGUAUUACAUCUAUUCUGACAUUUAAAAAUCAACAUUAAAGAACAUGUUGUAAUAAUGUAUUCUAUGGCUUAAAUAUUUAAAAAAUUUUACACCAUACCUAGAAAGUGUUGUGUACUUUCUAAAGCUUAUAAACUGACAAGUCCAGAGAUCUGAAGAAUCCUAAUACCGAAUCAUAAGUUAUAAUUCAUCCAAAAUUGUAUAGUUCUUAAAUUUCAAAUCCAAACCAGUGGAUAUCUAUCUUUAGUGACAUUUAGAUUUUAUUUAAUUUAGGUCAUUGUAGCUAUUAUAAAUGGAAGACUUUACUUCAUUGUGUCUUAUCACUUAAGUACCUCACUCUUGCUUUUCAAAAUAUUUCUUUCAAUUUCUUCAGUCUUAUUUGUUCUCUAAGACAAAGACUUGAUUUCAGUUUGUUUUUCUUAAAAUUAAUAUCUUCUUCAAUUUAUUUCCCAGUUUUUUCUAAAUAAAUACUUUAAAUAUAUAGAGAGUAUUAUUUUUAUAGUAUCUCAAAAUUAGUAAAAUAAAAUCUUGCCAAUACAAA